GCGAGGAGUGCUGAGCUGCCAUUGCCAGGCUGGCGCCCAUUGAGCAAGCAAUGGGAGGUCCAGCACAAGUUCCCCCCAGGCAUACGGCGCGAGGGACACAGCCCAGCAGGAGAUCUCCCAGAGCCUGCUGGAGAAGGAUUCCCUCCGCAGGAAACUCUGAGCUGACGGACCAGAUCUGUGAGCUGAGGAAGGAGGCCAGUCAGCAGCAGGAAGGCACUGCAGCACCUUGGAGUGACAGAUGAGCAGCUUCUGGACGGUGUGCGGAGAGAGGAGGUCCAGCUGAGAAAGAGCCCUGCCUGUACGGCACCAUCGCCCCUGACA